AAGGACGGCCAAGGCGGGGAGGGGAAGAGAGAGAGAGCGCUAUGCAAAUCGAGCUGGAUGAGAUCAGCCGGGAGCAACUGGCUGUGCAACUUCGGAGCAGGACUCUUUUCCCUCGCCAGUUGCGCACGGCAGACGCGCUUUCUCUCUGCGCCCUGGUUCCCGGUUGGAUUAUUCCUCUUAGUGAGCCCCGGGCUGGAAUUUCUAUCUUUCUGUCUUGGCGGAGUUAAUUAUCUCUUUUAUUUACGCCGCAUUUUACCCGGGUGGAUUUAAGCGCUGUUUGAGUUUGAAGAGGAGAAUCCAGAAAAGGGCAUGAAGACUCAACUGUCGGUGUAAUAAUCACAGAGCCCAGAGAGCAUGGUGGGACUCGCAGCGCUUUGCUUGCUGCUCUCGGCGUCUCUCGGCACCUCGGAGUUGGAAGAGCACUUUGAUCCAGCUAAGUGUCGCUAUGCAUUGGGCAUGCAGGACCGCACCAUCCCGGAUGAGGCCCUCUCAGCCUCCAGCUCAUGGUCCGAAUCGACGGCCGCCAAACACAGCAGGUUGGCGUUGAGCGAGGGGGAUGGAGCCUGGUGCCCUGCAGGACCCGUCUACCCUAACGACGCGGAGUACUUGGAGAUAGACCUGCGGCGGCUGCACUUCUUAACCUUGGUGGGCACGCAGGGUCGCCAUGCUAGCGGUCACGGCAAAGAGUUUGCCCGCUCGUACCGGCUGCACUACAGCAGGGACGGGCACCGCUGGAUGCCUUGGCGUGACCGGUGGGGCAAUGAGGUGAUUUCGGGGAAUGAAAAUACAGAAGAUGUGGUGCUGAAGGACCUGGGCCCCCCGGUUAUUGCCCGCUAUGUCCGCUUCUACCCACGUGCGGACCGAGUCAUGAGUGUCUGCCUGCGCGUGGAGCUCUAUGGCUGCAUCUGGAAAGAUGGCCUUCAGUCGUACACGGCUCCUCUCGGCCAGGUCAUGCCUCUAGUUCCAGAACCAGUCUACCUGAAUGACUCCACUUACGAUGGGCACAGCGUCAGCAACUUGCAUUUUGGGGGCCUUGGCCAGCUGACCGAUGGGGUGGUUGGCCUGGACGAUUUCACCCACAACAAAGAGCUGCGCGUCUGGCCAGGGUACGACUACGUAGGCUGGAGGAACAGCUCUUUCCCCAAGGGCUUCGUCGAGAUGGAGUUUGAGUUUGACCAGCUCAGAGCCUUCACUUACAUGAAGGUCCACUGCAACAACAUGCACACGCACGGGGUGAGCGUCUUCCGGCAGGUGGACUGCCUCUUCAAGCGCAGCCUGGCCACGGCCUGGGAGCCCACCCCUGUCUCGCAGCAACUCGCCGUGGACGUGAGGGAUCCCAGUGCCCGGUCCCUCACGGUGGACCUGGGAGGGCGGCUCGGCAAGUUCGUCCAGUGCCACUUCCACUUUGCCGGCGAGUGGAUGCUUUUCAGCGAAGUUGGCUUUCUCUCUGAAGUUGUGGACGACCCCUCCUUCUCUACCUCAAGCCGCCCACCCCCAGUGAUCGCUCUGCCUCACCCCUCGGGCCACGACGCUCCCAUCUCCCCAGCUCUGGGUUCUGCCCAGAGCGAGAAAGCCAACAUUGGCUCAAACCUCACGCUCCAAGAUCUGGAAAGUCAAGGGGAACCGAAAUCAGGGCAGCCCAUCGCAAAGGACGACAACAGCAACACCUCCAUCCUGAUUGGGUGCCUGGUGGCCAUCAUCCUUCUCCUAUUGGUUGUCAUCUUCCUCAUCCUCUGGCGGCAAUAUUGGCAGAAGAUCUUGGGGAAGGCGCAGCGCCGCAUCUCAGACGACGACCUCACUGUCCACCUCUCGGCACCAAGCGACACCAUCGUCAUCAACAACAACACGAUGGGCUCCCACCGGCACUCGAACCGCUACGAGCGCAUCCACUCGGGGGAGACGGAGUACCAGGAGCCCAACAGGGCCCGCAUGAAACUGCCGGAUCUGCCCCACAGCGCCGAGAACUCCGCUCUGCUGCUCAGCAACCCGGCUUACCACCUCUUCCUGGCCACUUAUGCCCAGCCAAUGGGAAGGCCUGCUUUCCCGCCACCCAACCGGGUUAAGCCAAUCAACACCAAUGCGUGUGGCGCUGACUACAUGGAACCGGAAACCGCAGGAAGUCAGCCGGGCUUCCAGAACAACGUGCCGCAUUACGCCGAAGCUGACAUCAUCAACUUGCAAGGGGUGACCGGCGGGAACACCUACGCAGUCCCGGCUAUUGCAGUGGACGCCCUCGCCGGCAAGGACAUGACGCUGGGCGAGUUCCCCCGGGAGAGGCUUGUCUUCAAGGAGAAACUGGGCGAAGGGCAGUUUGGAGAGGUCCACUUGUGUGAAGUGGAAAACCCUCAGGACCUUCCAAGCCUGGAGUUCCCCUUCAAUGUGCGCAAGGGGCGCCCUCUGCUGGUGGCUGUGAAGAUUCUACGCUCUGACGCCACUAAGAAUGCCAGGAAUGAUUUCCUGAAGGAGGUGAAGAUCAUGUCUCGCCUGAAGGACCUCAACAUCGUCCGGCUCCUGGGCGUUUGCGUGAGAGACGACCCCCUGUGCAUGAUCACGGAGUACAUGGAGAACGGAGACCUCAACCAGUUUCUCAGUGGGCAUGAGAUGGAGGACAAGCUGGGCGGGAGCCCCAGCGGGAAGCCGACAAUCGGCUAUCCUACUCUGGUCCAUGUGGGGGCCCAGAUUGCCUCAGGAAUGGCGUUCCUUGCCUCCCUCAACUUUGUGCACCGGGAUCUGGCGACGCGGAACUGCUUGGUGGGCGAAGGCUUCACCAUCAAGAUUGCCGACUUCGGCAUGAGCCGGAACCUCUACGCCGGGGACUAUUACCGCAUCCAGGGCCGUGCAGUGCUGCCAAUCCGCUGGAUGGCUUGGGAGUGCAUCCUCAUGGGCAAGUUCACCACAGCCAGCGACGUCUGGGCGUUUGGUGUCACGCUUUGGGAAGUGCUUAUGCUGUGCCAGGAGCAGCCCUACAGCCAGCUCACCGACGAAGCCGUCAUUGAGAACGCCGGAGAGUUCUUCCGGCACCAGGGCAAGCAGGUCUAUCUCUCUCGUCCUCCCGCCUGCCCGCUGGCUGUCUAUGAGAUGAUGCUGAGGUGCUGGGCGCGAGAGGCCAAGGACCGCCCCUCUUUCCAACAUCUGCACCGCUUCCUGGCUGAAGAUGCCCUCAAUAUGGUGUGAACGGGAUUGGUGCCGGCCAGCGGAGAUUAUGUUUAAGGACUCGGGUUGCGCCACAGAGACUGCUGAGGGAGGAGGCAGGAUGUAGCUCAAGAGGGCGUCACGCUCUGGGGUGCCUGCGGGGGGGGGGGCAUCUUGUCUGCCCAUCCUUGACUCAGCCCUGGUUGGCCCACCCAUUGCUCUCCAUCCACUCCUCAACAUGACAUUCUCCCUCCCUCCCUCCCCCCCCUCCCCCCCGCUCCAUCAGUCUCUUCUGCUAAUUUUUAACCGUCUCUCGGACGUCCCAUGAUUCAGCACUGCCAUACAUUUCCAACACAUUCCCCCUUCUCUGUUUUCUGGCCCACCUAUUCACAUACGUACCCAAUUCUCUUCUCGUCCUGGUCUCUCUUUCUGUCAGUGCAAUUCUACUUUGAUUCAAUCGAUCUGCCUUAAUCUGAACAAACUUCACCAGUACCCACACGUGACUGUGUUUCCACUGCAUUCGUUUCAUCUGCAGACCUUUUCUGUUAUUCCCCUGUAUAUCCAUGUUUUCAAGGUGUGAGUUGAACCUCCCACUAAGGCAGCAGGGGCUGUUGUUGUUGCUGGGGUCUGCUAGAUGGCCCUCCCUAACCUCAUUUUAUCAACGCCACGCCAGGUCACAAGAAGUCUUCUGAUUGGCCAAGGAGACAGAAUGCUCAUCCACUCACUUCCAUCUGGGCAGUUCCAUGCUAGGCACAGUGUCCCCACAGCUACGACAGAUGGCUAAGUGUAUGAACUUCAAAGACCUGGAUUCAGAUCUUACCGCAGCCAUAUAUUCACUAGGUGGCCUUAAUUAACCCUGUUCCCUCAGCUAUGGCCCCUCGGAGGCCUACUUUACAGGGUUCCUGUAACGAUUAUCGAAAUAAAGCUAUGUAGGACACUUCUGAACAGCCCCAAAAACUAAGAAUGAAUUCCAUUCUGAACUUCAUUCUGUUGGGCCAAUGUGACAGUGCUGUGAUUAUGGCGGAUUUUCGGUGGAGCAGCACCUCUUCCCCUGAGGACCACGAAACACCAGGAUCCCGCUGUCCAAGGUCACAGAGUGAGGUUUACGAUUCUAAUACGUUCUCCUCUGUGUGUCUGUAUGUGUGUUAUUUCAGGAGGGGCUGGAGAAGCCCUGUCCAAAAUCCCGUUUUUCAUGCAGAAGCUUCAUUGUGCUUCCAUCCUCAGACAUUUGCACAUAGCAGCAGACAGAUAACCACAUGCAAGGGUCUCUUAGAAUCAUGGAAUUAUGAGUUGGAAGGGGGGGGUCAUCUUUUCCGCUGCAAUGCGGGAAUCUUUGAGCUUGGGGCUCAAACCCACGACCCUGAGAUUAAGAGAGUCUCAUGCUCUGCUAACUGCAUAUUCCAGCUAUCUUGGGAGCAAAUGGUCAGUGCUAGUUAGGGGGAGCCUGGAGGGGAAACAAAAAGUUUUCCCCAUCACCACAACCUUGCUUUAUGGUGGCUCAGUAUUUUACCCUUUGAGAACUUUGUCUCUGUUCUCUUCCCCGCCCCCCAUUCAUACUCUUUCCCCAGGGAGUGUGACUCUCUUACCUGCCAUCUCUUCCUCAGAAAGUUGGGGCUGGGUGACUCCACACUUGGGGGGACUACAUUUCUGCCUUUGAGUUUCAUUCACAACUGGACUGACACUGGCUGAACCAAUAAGGACCCUUUGUUCUGAGCACACUGGGAUUAACUGAGCACUGGAUGUUUGGCAAUGCUGGAAGAAAUGAAUUCGAGGGUACUUGACUAAUCCAUUGUAGCUGGGAGAACCCACUACUAGCUGCUCUGUAGGGGUAAGUGGGGUGGGAGGGGGGAAUACCUCUUGGUCUUGCCCACUUCGUUGAGCAAAAGAGGCAGGAGACCAGGCUGGCAAGAUCUGGUGAGGCUUUGGGCUGGGUGCAGUCAUGGCCUGACCUCAAAAAAGGGAAUUGACCCAGGGUUUCCAAAAGGGCUGGUUUUCUGUUCUCCCUUAGCCACAUAUCAGUGCCAUGCCCGGCUCUCCUCUCUCAUGAAUUCAUUUCCCCUUUCUUUCCUGGAGACUUGAGGUGACAUGAUUGUAGAUACUGUACUGCACGAAGCAGUGGCGAAGGGAUGCACUUUUUCAAAGCAAGCAGAGGUGCUGGGGGAACCGAUCGAUUUACCCCCCUUCUCUCUGCGAUUCCAUUGUGGAGACUCCCCUGAGAACGUAGCCUGAAAAUCAUCACCACGGUCGUGCUCAACGGAUCUGUCCGCAUAGAAGCCUGUGCUUCGAUCUGUGCUAGAUCAGGGGGUGUCUCUACACAGGAAGUUCCUCUUAACAGGUAACCCAUGCAAUAAGCUUUGCCGAUGCCAAUGCCCCAUUUAGUGGGAGGGAGAGGGAAAUAAUGGUUUUUCUUCCUCCCAAGUGUUGUUGGGUUUCCUAAUUAAAGUUAAAAGUAGCAUUUUCCGUCGACUAGGAGUGGUUCCGUUUCAUCAAGCAUUUUUCAAAAUUUAAAGCUCGUUUUGGAAUAGAUAGUUGCAGAGAGCAUUUAAGUUAGGGGGUGGGAGAUUAUUAGAGCAGUAACCAAGAGAAUACAAAGAUGGCAAUUAAAUCUACCAAGCACCGUCCUUCAGAAACGAUGCCGGGGCAGUGCAAGCCAAUGCCUGUUCACUCAACGUUCCACUUAGUUCACUGGGGCAAGCACCCAGCAUAGCUGCCAAGUUAUCCCUUUUUUACAGGGAUUUUCCCUUAUGCUGAAUAGGCUUCCUCGCGAGAAAAGCGAAAACUUGGCAGCUAUGGUACCCAGGGCUGUCUUAAUCUCAUUGGGUGCCAUGGUGCAGGGAUCCCUCAGGCGCCCCCCACCCCCACGGGGUCCCCCCCUCUCACACGUGUGCAGGCCGCCUCGCCUGUGCUUUCCUCAGCUGUGCACGGUGCACUGGUGUUCCAAAUUAAUUCGCUCUUUAAAAAAAAAAAAAUUCACCACGCUGGAGGAGGCAAGACCCUGCAAUUCUGUGAGUCUGAUCCAGAAGCACUGACUGCAGCCAAUGGGGAACAAAUGGCCAUGGAAGAAGGUGGAUCCAGAGGAGAUUUGGGGUUAAAUCCUGGAAGCUGGAGGGGGAGAGGUUGUGAUAGGCCCGCCGCGCUCGCUGCCUUCCCCGCGCCAGGAGGCCUUGGGGCUCCGCCUUGGCUAAGCCAUCGCCACACGGAGAGCGCAGCCUGUGGAGAGGCCCGGCGACCCGACUGCUCCAUCAUUUUAAGAGAGGGGAAAACCCGCGGAGUUGGCAGGACAGCCCCCAUUGGCGGUGCCAGGCACCUCAUGGCUCCCCCCCCACGGAGCCAGCAGGGAGAGCCCCGUUCCUGCAUUCCAGAGCCCUCCCACCCGCAGCCAGUAAUACAAGACAAUAAAAAUACACUUCCUGACCCAACUGGUCAAGUUGCUCUUGAUCUUCUUUUUUCUCCGGAAUCAGAAUCCAUUCCUGGGCUGCCUUUCUUUGUGAUCUUGAUGACUACCUGUCUGGCACUUGAGUAAGUGUCACCCCUGAGGUGAGGUGUUUUCUGCCUACAUAACUCUACGCUUUUUGGUAAAUUGUUGUCUAGAGUCUCCUUUUCCCUGUGCCAAACAGGACUCAUGGAGAUGGAAGGAGCAGCUGCUUUUAGUGGAUUCCUGAGGCUCUGCACAGUGUAUUUUAUACAGUGACUUAGACAGGAUACAAUUACUUCUAGGCUAGACACAUAGCUCAUACCAAAAUAAAAACUUAGUUGGUCUUUAAGGUGCUACUGAAGGAAUUUUUUUAUUUUACAUAGUAACAUUGUAACUGGCUGGGAUGACAUUUCAUUCAUAACAGCUGUCAAUGAAGGGAAAACAUUUCAUUUGGCUGCAGUACCAGUGUUACAUGCUCUAGAUGGCAGUGUUAGAUAACAUUCAUUGGCUGGAGCUCAACAAGUUAUUAAAUACAGACAUUUCUAAGCACUGGCUCAUUCAUUUGCUAUAUGUGAUAGUGCUGUUUUCCCAUUUCCCAUUCCUUUUUUAGCUGCCUUUAUUUACAGGGGCUAGUAAUGUUUUUGUAGUGUCCACUCUAUCUGGUGGCUUUAGGUAAAUACAGGUACAGUUCAUGAUGUACAGGAUUCCUUCAUAGUAACAUCUCAUAUAAACAUACAAGGUUGCCCCCCCCCCUUCACUGCGUUUAGCGCAUAUGCAAAAAUAUGUGAUAAGUAUUUGGCCCCCUUACUGAAGGAGGGGAUUCAUCACACUGACUCUGAUGCACAUAGAGACUUAUAAGCUCAGCUAACUAGCCAGGCUAGCGGCCUUGUGCCUUAUCUUGUGCUAGGAGUGGCUUUACUCCCAAGGUACAUUAGAAAGGAAUGAAGAGGAAUCACGGCGGGGGGUGGUGGUGUUCUUUGUUUUCCUGACUAAUGAAUAUGUAAUGAAUGAACGACCAUACAUGGUAUAAUUAGUGUUGUGUCGUAACUUUAGAUUGGAGGAAGUUUAUGCAUAUGUAUUGUUUUAACAGAUAGCAGCUAUGUAUAUUAAGGAGGUUCCACCAUUGUUCAGUCUUUUGGAGAGUGAUCCCACUGAUCCAUUAUUGUUAGCAAUAAACAUCCUUUGUUUUUCUGCUGGAGUUUUUCCUUUCGGCCCACACGUUUAUUAUGCUACAACUCUUCCAGGGUGUCUCAUCUGCUGAACAAUUGUAGGAAUGAUGUUGUGGGAAAUGUGGCAAGAUUUCCUGAGUGACGCUAUGAAGUUACAUCACCAUAGUGCUAUAGUGCUGCAUGUUGGACCAACAGAAGUUUCUGAGUCGUCUUCAAAGGCAGCCCCACAUACAGGGCAUUGCAAUUCUGAAACCUAUCAGAGCAUGGAGCACAGUGGCCAAGUCAUCACCGUCCAAAAGGGCUCAUAGCUAGCCUACCAAGGGCAGAUUGCCUCCCCACCUCCUGGACCUGAGACCUGGGACACAUAUCUUUUCAGGAUUCAGCUUCAGUUUAUUGGCUCACAUCCAGCCCAUCACUACCUUCAAGCACUAGUCUAACAUCUCAACUGCUUCUCCUCAUUCAGAUGGAACAGAGAGACAGAUCUAGGUGUCCUCUGCGAGAAGUGAAGCUACCAGGUACCAGACAGAGGGCCUUAUCAGUAGUGCCCCCUCCCCCCGGUGGAACAUCCUCCCAUCAGAUGUCAAGGAAAUAAAUGACAAUACAAUUUUUUUAAAAAAACAUUUUAUUCAUUUCAUUUCAAAACAAAACAUAACACAAAGGAAACUUACACCAUAUUCCAUAACAACAGUAAUCUUCAUUUUUACAAAAACCAAAUCAAAAAAGGAAAAGGAAAAAAGAAACCCCCUCCCUUUUCAUCCCCC